UUAUAGCCCGGAUUGGAAGGGUGCGGAGCAUCCGCGUUAGAGGAUGUAGCGAAAGCGGAACCCUGGAAAGCCGGUUUUUGA
rnacentral:misc_RNA from 1 species